CGUCUCAAAAAAAAAAAAAAAAAAAAAAGAAUAAUGCUGAGCUACUGAAGAGGCUUAAACAGGAAUGUAAUGUGAUCAGGAUUUGUUUUAGAUAGAUCAGAUAAACUGAUGCAGGGCAAGACUGGCUACAAAGAGGCAACUCUAGAAAUCCUGGUGUGGGAAUGAAGAUGGCCUGAAUUUUUAGACUUUUCUUCUGGGACACCAUUUUCCUUUCAUUUGGUUUUUCUCUUACUCCUUGAGCUGUUACUUUUCUUUCUUCUCUGUAGUGACUUCUGACCUCCUCUACAUCUAAAUGUUAAUGUCCGUCAGGGUCCAUCCUCAGGUCUUUUCUCUUCUCUAUUCACGCCAUUAUCUAGUGAUCUCAUCCAACCUAAGGGCUUUAAAUAUCAUCGGGACACUGACAAGCCCCAAAUUUAUGGUACCAGCCUGCACUUCUCUGACUUCUCGACUGUCUGGCCAACGUCGGCUGUCUACUGAACCUCUCCAUUUAAAUGUUUAAUAGGUAACUCAAACUUAGCAUUUAUAACACUGAACUCCUGAUUCUCCCUCCAGUUUUGCUAUGCCAAGUUUUCCCCAUACCAGUAAUGGCCAACUCCAUUCUUCCAGUUGCAUAGCCAAAAUUUUGGAAUCAUCCAUAACAUUUUUCUUUCUCUUGUACUCUACACCCAAAACAUCAGAAAAUCCUUUUGACUCUGACAUCAAAAGACAUCCAGAAUAUGACCCAUUUUUACAAUUCCUCUUGCUACAUAGCUGGCUCAAGCCACAAUCAUCUUAGAGCUAGAUUAAGAGCCUAGGUAUUAUAACAGAUUAUUGUUAUAAUAGGUCAUUGUGAUAGAUCUCCUUGCUUCUGCCCUGGUUCCCUAUAGGUUUACACUCAACAUAGCAGUUAAGAGCUUUUCCUUGAAUAUAUUAGGUCAUGUCACUCUAAAUAAAAGCCCUGAAUGGUUUCCCAGCUUCCUCAGAGUGAAAGUCAAAGUCCUUACAGUGACCUAUAACAAACUCAAACUAUAACAAAACAAAGUUUUCUUCCCUCACCUUGCUUCUCUGACCUUAGCUAUUACUAUUCUCCACUUCUCAUUCUGUUGCAGACAUCCUGGUCUCCUUUUGGCCCUCAGAGACUCCAACCAAACUCCCACCUCAUAGCAUUUGUGUCCUGCUGUUCCCUUUGCCUUGACUGCUCAUCCCCAAGCUACCCAGAAUGUUUGUUUCCUUGUUUUUCUCCCCUCAGUUCUAUUCUUAAACAUAACUUAUUUUAUUUUAUUUUGUUUUAUUUUUGAGACAGUCUUGCUCUGUUGCCCAGGCUGGAGUGCAGUGGUGCAAUCUCGGCUCACUGCAACCUCCACCUCCCGGCUUCAAGUGAUUCUCUUGCCUCAGCCUCCCGAGUAGCUGGGAUUACAGGUGCACACCAUCAAGGCUGGCUAAUAUUUGUAUUUUUAGUAGAGGUGAGGUUUCACCAUGUUGACCAGGCUGGUCUCGAACUCCUCACCUCAAGUGACCUACCUGUCUAGGCCUCCCCAAAUGCUGGGAUUACAGGACUCAGCCACCACGUCCAGCUACAUAACUUUAUUAUAGAAACCCCUGAACACUUUACAUCAAAAAGCAUCACUCACUCUAACCCUGUCAGAGCCCCCCACCCUGCUCUGCUUCUCUUCAUAACACUUAAUACCAUUCAGCACUAUGCAUUUUCUGGUUUUUUCCUGUCCUUCCUCACUAACACGUAAGCUUGAUAGAAGGAGAAGCUGUAUGUGUUUUGCUCAGUGUUGAUUCUCCACCACCCAGAACACCUCCUAGCAUAAGGUCAGCACUCAGUAAGUUGCUGAAGGAAAGAAGGGAUGGGUUUGAGCAGAGUGGAGAUGGAGAUCAGCUGAUGAACUUUUGAGAUCUAGUAGGUGGCAGAAUAGUCAGAUUGUGAUGAAUUGUUGGGUAUUGAGCAGGAAAAGGGAGAUGAAGGAAAUAAGAGGGCUCUAGGAGGCUCUCCAAGUUUCUGCCCUACACACUGAGUUGAUGGUAUACUGUUCCCUGAAAUAGAGAAGAUGGGAAAAGGAUUUGAUUAAGGACAGGGACAGAGAAGGAUAAUUUCAACUUUGAGGAAGUUGAGAUUCAGGUUAUUAGGACAUAUUCAACUGAAGAUAUCCUGGAGGUAGCUGGCUCUAGAACUAUUAACUGAGUUUGUGCUGAACACUCAUCUCUGUUAGGUACAAAACUGCAUGGAAAGGAGAUGAAGAGAGACUGUAUAGUAUUGAGUCAUUUUCCAGGGAAAAGCUAAAUCCUUUUCACCCCUUCAGGUGAACUUACCAAACCAGCUGCUACUCAGAAGCUCACAGCCUUUCAGAAAAAGGUAUUCUCCAAGCCUCCAAGGAGUCUUAUUGUCUCAAGGCAACCAUUUUUCAGUUUGACUCUAGGGGUGCGUGUUUGCCAUUCAGAACCUACUAUAUUUUACCGCACCUCCUGACAUUGUUACACAACAUUUAUUGAAAGCACAUUUGAUGGUAAUGAAGUUUCUAUUAACUAUGAUUAAAUCUCAUAAAGCACCUGAAGAUAAUUUAAGAUGUGCAGAAGCAGAAAAUGAAACAUUCGGUUUAGUACAUUAGGAAACGUAAUUGAUUAAAUUAUCUCAUUUACAAUAAGUGCUUUCAUGAGCUAUGCAGUGCACAUAUUUUCCCCAGUUUGUCAUUAUGAUUUGCCAACAGAUAUCUUAAGACUUCACUUUCUUUUUACACCUCCCCGCAACUCUAAGCUCGUGCCUCUGCCUGCCUGCUCAUGGAGCACUCUGUGCAGAGCUCUGAGUGAUGUUUUCUAUCUGCCAGGCCUUAUGGAAGAUCAUGUGUAUGGCUAUAUAUAGGCACAGGUUGUUUCUCAAUUAUCUUCAUAAUUGACUUUGAUUUUGCAUUAGUGAUGAUUCAUGUAGUCUCACAUUAAGCCCCUCUUUCACUGAACAACUGCAGCCUGAAUUUCUAUAAUGCACUCCUAACCAUGCAGCUUACAGAACCCCGAUUGGAUUCCUCUGGGAGCCUUUUGCAAUCACAUUGAUUCUCUAAGGUCUUAUUUUUAGAGAAAUCACAAAUUAAAACAGUUUAAGCGAUUCCGUUGCAGUAUCCAGCAAUUAAGCAUGGUGCUCAGGAACGAGAACCCCAAGCAAAAACUAAUUCUGAAGUCCCUAAGGACUGGAAAUGGCUUCUGCGGGGUUUAUGCCUGGAAGUACAGAUGUAACCAAAUUAGAAUGGCACAGGACUCACAAACUAAGUGUGAAAUUAAUUUUAAAAACACAUACAUGCAUUUCUAAGUAACUCUCACAUUGGCCACCCCAUGGAUACCUAUGAUCUUUUUUGUGCUAUAUGACAGAAUCAGUGGACAGCAUGCACCAUGUGGCCGGGAGCAAGGUAAGAGUCCACUUACUCCACCUGUCAUCCUGAGGGUCCUGACACAAGCACAGGCCAAAUAUUCAGUGAUCUGUUUAUUUCUCUCUCCCUCAAUGCCCAUACACAUGAACACACAUAUACACAGCCAGGUGCCCCCAAACUCAGUCUUCCCAUAAAUUCAAAAUCAAACAUGCAUGAUGUCAGAGGACCAAUACUUAAGUAGUAAUGAUUUUUUUUAAUGGGCAGCAGACAGCAGGGAAAUAAGUUUAAAUGUUUAUUUUUGCUGUUUUCCCAAAUUCUUAGACUUUGCAAGUAAUGAUAUCUUUGUAUCUCCAGCCUUCCUGAAGCAACAUAAGGAAAUAGGAACAGAAUGGCUUUACUGGAUUUUUCCCUCAUGUCUUGUGACCCCUGUCCCAAGUUACCUAUUUCUGUCUAUCCUCACAGGGUCUUAAUUCUCUCAAAGAAGUUAGCUCAUAAUAGCUAUUAACUCUUCCAAGCUCUUUGAAUUUUAAUACCCUAAGAUUUAAAAGAUCAAAAGUCAUUCAGUUGAUACUAGAAUGAGAGAUGCUAGGCAGGGACGUCUUUCACAAGCUUUACAAACCAAACCAGCCAGGCCGUUGUCUAAUCUCCUACUAAUGAGAGCUGUAUUAAUGUUGCCCCAGUAUCUUGAAGUUUCCCUAGCGUCCUUUACAUAUUUCUGAUGUAUGAGAAUGACUUGGGGAACAUAUUAACACAUAGAUUCUUAGGAGCUCCUCAACCAGGAAUUCAAAUUUAUUUGUUCUGUUCUGAGGUGGUGCAUAUUUAAUUUAACAAGCUCCAGCCACACUCUGAGAUUCUGAUGCAUGUGGAUUCUGAUCCACCUUUUGAGAAACAUUUUUCUAAAAUCAUGGUUCUCAGCCCCACCUGCACCUUGGAGUCACCUGAGGAGCUUUGAAAAAUAGAGAUACCUGGGUCCUGAAAACCCUCCACCUUAAAUUCCAAUAGCCUUGAUACAGCCUGGAAAUUGGGAAUUUUAAAAGGCCUACAGGUGAUACUAAAGAGCAUAAGGUCAAAUGCCAUACUGCUAGCCAUUCCAGCCAUCUCCUCUCUCCAGCUCUGCAGGAAGCAUAAAAUGAAGACAAUGCAAAGGCCUCUCCCAUAAGCAAGCCUGGGUACAACGAGCCUAAGCCAGUACCAACACCCCAAUCCUCAGCUCGUCAUUAUUUCACCAUGGAGUUCUGGAUCCUAAUCUGCCCAGCUGCCAUGGAUUCCACAGGAGAUUCUUAUCAGGAUGAGAAAAGCAGUGAGCUUUCAGCCUGUCACUCUAUUAUAUACAACCAGAAGCCUGCUCAGGAACGAAGAUUACUCUGGGUAGCAGAAUGAAACUCCAUUAAAAACAGGAUUGAAAGGCUGGGUCUUACAGAGGAGAUCAGAUCAUGAGGACUCUCCCCUCAUGAAUGAAUGAAAGAAUGGAUUAAUGAAUUAAUGGGUUAUCAUAGAAGGGAAACUGGUGGCUUCACAACAAGAUGAGAGAUCUGACCUCGAAUAUUUGCCUGCUCAGCCUCAUUGCCAUGUGAUGCCAUGUCCUGUGCCACCUCUGGACUCUGCAGGGAGUCCCCACCAGCAAGAAGGCUCUCACCAGACAUAGCUCCUCGACCUUGGAUUUCUCAGCCUCCAGAACGGCUCUACAGAUUGAUUUUAAAGCCACCUACACUGCAGUUUCUUCAAUUUAGCUCUACUUAUCUGAUUAUGCAUCACAAAAGGAAGCAGAAAUUCAGCUUAAUUGUGAAGCCAUUGCAGCAGAACCAAGCAAAUGAUAGAAAACCUCAUGAUCACAGACAGAAUCACACUCACUGAUGCUGAAUGAAAUGACAGACAUCCGUCCCUCUGCAGAAGCCUGAAUACUGAUCACAGAAUUUUACGUUCUGACAUUGUGUGUCUCUUGUCAGAUAGUGUUGUCCUUUACUUUCCCCGCUUCAGUUGUGAAAGUCAGGUGCAGUCUCAUACUAUUUUUUUUUAAAAUUCAUUAUGACAAGUAAAUGGUCUCUGGGAAAGCGAACAUCCUCAUCCACUGUUUACUGAAACUGUAACACUGUCAUGAGUGAAGAAUGAAACAUGUUUAAUGUAAAGAGUUUGCAGAAUGAUGAUCAGAGGAAAAGAACAUUAAACAGAAGAAACAUAAAUAUAAGAAUGGGGAGAGAGAUGUAAUCAAAAGACAGCUUGUAAGGGAGGUUACAUGCUGCCAUUUGCUUUUCAGCUGUGUUUUCCAUAGUGGGACAGAUCUUGCUCUUUGUUACUUCUACUUUUGCUUUUUCCCAUCUGCAAAGAGGGAAACAAUCUGCUUUUGAAUCUCUGGUGAAGCAUCACCUAGAAGCUGCUGCCAAAGCUUGAUAUCCAGAGUGCUCUAAAACAUAGUGUGAUGUGCCCUUUCAUCUUAAAGGAUUAUUUUUGGCUGGGCAGACCUCUCUAAGAUAGAUUAUAAGGAGCUGGCUUUUAAAGGCAAUGAAAACUGCUUCUGUAUUCACAUUUACCCCCUCCCUCCAUUAUCUGAGGUAUGUAAAUAAUGUUUUAAAGUGGUGAUGUGAGAAUAUUAAUUAUGUUUUCAUUUCUUGUUCCUGUUACCAUGUAAUAUAUCUUCAAGUGCUGAGAAAACAUCUUACAAAACCAUUAAAGAUUCCAAAUGUUCAUACAUAAAUGGGUGUUAAAAGCGGAUGCCUGAGUUACAUACAAUUAAUGAUACACAGACACGUAUCAUACAUACAUGGACAUGUACCACUGGAAAAAUCAAGUCUACAAAGAAUAAAAAUAUUUCUGUCAGUGAGUAAAAGGCUAAUAAUGUAAUGAUAUCCAAAGGAAAUGCAGGGACACAUAUGGAUGAGCUCGGAUUCCACAUAUUGGGUGACUAAGAAUGAAUUAGCAUAAAUUAUAAAUUUGUUCCAAUUAUAGAAGGUAAUUAUCGGAGACCAGCUUACAGCAUUAUCAAAAUUAAAACAGCAAAGUGCAUCUGUAUUCCAAGUAGAUGCCAUUGAGUUAAUCGUCCUGAAAAAAAAACCAAAAAGACUCUACACUUAUUCAUCUUCUAUUCCUUUGAUUACUAGACACUCUAUCCAAGUUUCCCCUCAGCUGACAGACACAAAGUCACCAUGAAGGAAGAAAAACAUUUUGAAA
rnacentral:lncRNA from 10 species